rnacentral:rRNA from 1 species
GAUGAACGCUGGCGGCGUGCCUAAUACAUGCAAGUCGAGCGAACAGAUGAGAAGCUUGCUUCUCUGAUGUUAGCGGCGGACGGGUGAGUAACACGUGGGUAACCUACCUAUAAGACUGGGAUAACCCCGGGAAACCGGGGCUAAUACCGGAUAAUAUUUUGAACCGCAUGGUUCAAUAGUGAAAGACGGUUUCGGUUGUCACUUAUAGAUGGACCCGCGCCGUAUUAGCUAGUUGGUAAGGUAACGGCUUACCAAGGCGACGAUACGUAGCCGACCUGAGAGGGUGAUCGGCCACACUGGAACUGAGACACGGUCCAGACUCCUACGGGAGGCAGCAGUAGGGAAUCUUCCGCAAUGGGCGAAAGCCUGACGGAGCAACGCCGCGUGAGUGAUGAAGGUCUUCGGAUCGUAAAACUCUGUUGUUAGGGAAGAACAAAUUUGUUAGUAACUGAACAAGUCUUGACGGUACCUAACCAGAAAGCCACGGCUAACUACGUGCCAGCCGCCGCAGUAA